UAAAUACAGGUCGAGAGUCUUCUUCCCCAACGGUCCGCCAUUCCGGUAACUCGCGAAGGAGAGGUCGAGGGAGAGGGAGAACAGGCGAAGGACGCGCAACGGAGUUCCUCAUGCAGGCGAUCAGGAGAUCGACUCUGAUUGAAGAGGUCGGGGAGAUUCUGGUGCCGGGAAGUACGUUGGCGGAUGGUACGAAGCGGGCGUUGGUGGAGGUGGUGCUUCCGGAGAGCAUGUGUAUGAGCGGCGUAGGGUGGAUCUGCUGGGCGUCUGGACCACCAGCAAUCAGCAGAGAAGGUCGAAUCUGCAGCGCGGUUCAAGUGGCAGCACUUAGAAGGGACCGUUUCGCCUCUGACUUCUACGAUGUCGAUGGAAAGAUGAAUCGCCAGGCUCUUGGUUGGGAGAAGAGGCAACCAACGAGAUAACAAUGCUCUUGAAGGAAAAAAAUGCUCGAUGCUUUCACACAUUGCAACAGUUAGAGGAAAUAUCCAGCUGGAUAUGUUCAAGCUUGCUGACAAGCUUGCCUCCUCCACCAAUGGUGACGACACCUGUACUCCUGUCAGAGCACCCAUUACUGGCCAUCACCUAAAUCUAUCUCCUUACGAAGGGAACACUUCGACAAGCAAGCGGCCCAGAACUAUCCAAUGCGACCAACCCCAGCCAGAAAGCGUGGCUCACCACAUUAUACGGCAGGUCACCUUAUUUGCAAAGGGAAAUUUGAAAGCCAUAAGCAAGUCGUAUAUCAAUCUCCCAAAUGGUGGGAGCACAACUGUUUUUGGCGAGAGGCGGGUUGAACACCUUGGCCGCAAGUAUGUAUUCAGACCAGGGUUCCAGACAGGUCCCUGGAGCUGAGGCGCUGUUCUGUAUCCUCCACAUGCAGAUGUCGCGCAACUCCUGGAGCGGUACUUCGCCACUGCACCUGACAGUGAAUUAUCUGGCAAUUUCCUUGUACACGAAGCUCCCAUGUUCAUCAAGAUUACUGGCUACAUGAUCAGUGGCCAGCUUGUGGGUGGCAACAUGAUUCAGCGUGAACUGGUGUCGUUGCUUUUCCGUCGCUUUGCUCAAGUUGAUUUUCACUGCGCUAAUCUACUGCUUACUCAAACAAGACUCUAGGCUUGUGGGACUCUGAUUUCAUUCACACCCUGUCUAUCCAAAGGCAGUUCACAGGUGACUCUUUGAAGUAUGACAUCACAUCAUCCCAAAAUGUUUUAUUCCGGUGCCACGCCCAGAAGGCUGGAUGGUGAUAAUAUGGGACAUGGUGACGAAAAAAUUAAGUAAGAGACCGAGGCCAAUUCUCCUGACUUUCUUUCCAUAAUUAUUACUAUAAUGUUUGUUUCAUAUUAUUUUUUCAUUACUUCAUGUUAUCAUGCCAUCAUGUCAUUAAAUAAUUCACACCAUUUUUAAACCAUGAACAUUUUUAGAAAAUCAUUUGUGCCUUGCUUCUAUUUUAUUUAAAUGCCUUUACAAAUUUCUUCAAACCUUUCCUAAAGGCCCUUACCUUUGCUGCUUCAAGUUUGAUCUUCAAAACCUGCCCAUAAUUCUUUCAUCACAUUUCAGACCGCCAGCCAGAAUCUGAAGAUUUUUUUUUGGACACUUCUAAACGUAGACCUAGAUCAAACCAAUUUGGCUCGACCCUGUAUAUAAAAAAUUCAGCUAAUCAUCCAACCAAGGAACGAGAUAAGGCUACAACCUGGAAGCUUUACAAUGCAAUGCUCGCAUGUUUGAAUUAGUUCUAUGCUAGAUGGCCGUGAGCAAGGAAAACUGGGGCAUCAAGGCCGAGAUAGGGGGCAUGCGUCAUCCACAUUGCUCGCCACUUUGAGGGAGAAAAGCUGAAGCUUCAGCUUACACAAUGGAGUAUUUCCCAGCACUAGCAAUGCAAAUGUGGAGGAUUGGUACCAAAAAAAAAAGAACAAUGUUGUUUUUUUGUAAAAAUGUGGGUACUUGACUUUAUCCAUGUGAAGCAGAUCCCCGAGAGGCCGAGACACAUAUAGUAGGGUUGCACUAGCGAAAUCUAAAUAGUACCUACAACCUCGGAAGCCUGCUAGGUGCGAGAAUUGUGGGGUUGAGGACCACAGGGGAAACAACUGCACAAAACCAAUGGAUGUGGGAUUAGGGGGUGUCUGAUGAUGCUGGUGUGAAGUGCAUGGCUGCAGCAUCACUGCAUCAGCAUCAGUUAUGACUGGUGAAAACCAAGGAGAGCAAGAGUGUAAUCUAAGAUAUGUUGAUGUGUUCUGGAGAAUAUUUUCUAUAUCUUGUACUGUGUGGCGCCAUCCGGCUGUCCGGCAGACUAUAUAUGUAUCUAUGCAAUGCAUUUCCGGGAUCAGGUGUUUGGAUGAAGAAUUAUUGUUAUUUUCAUGUGAUUCAUGGCCCCAUCUAGUGUGUGUGUGAUGCCUGUGACUAGAGUUGCAUGUUGCUGGAGACUGAAUUGCGGUGCUUAUCUUUGUAGGCCGAUCUGAAUUCUUAUGCUUGUUCAGGCUGAAUUAUGGCACUUGUUUGUGUUGCCUGAGACUGAAUUGUGCUGCCUGAAGUUGGUAUAGAGAGUACAUAAAAAAAGUGGAAUCAGCGGUGAUGUGAUUGUUGGGCGUUGAGUAGCAUCAAUUUGUGUUUUUUAGGGGAUCAAUUCGUUUUUGUGUGAUGUGCACUGUUGCUGG